rnacentral:rRNA from 1 species
CGCAUCUGUGCAUGCAGCAUAUCAAUAAGCGGAGGAAAGGAAACUAACAAGGAUUCCCUUAGUAACGGCGAGUGAAGCGGGAAGAGCUCAAAUUUGAAAUCUUCAAGGUUUUACCUUGACGAAUUGUAGUUUAAAGAAGUGUUUUCUGCUGAAGUUUUGGUAAAAGUUCUUUGGAAUAGGACAUCAUAGAGGGUGAGAAUCCCGUAUUUGACCAUUAUUUUCAGCUUUGUGAUACACUUUCAAAGAGUCGGAUUGUUUGGGAAUGCAGUCCAAAAUGGGUGGUAAAUUUCAUCUAAAGCUAAAUAUUGGCGAGAGACCGAUAGCGAACAAGUACCGUGAGGGAAAGAUGAAAAGAACUUUGAAAAGAGAGUUAAACAGUACGUGAAAUUGUCAAAAGGGAAGCGUUUGACACCAGUGUUGUUUUCUCGAAAAUCAAUUAAAAAUGGCUCGAUUUUGUAUUGCUGAGACCUUGAAAGCUCACUGUACAUUUUUCGUGUCUUUUUUAAUGCACUUUUCGUUUAACAAGUCAACAUCAGUUUCUUUUGUUGUAAAAGGGUCAUUGGAAGGUGGCUUUCUUUUCGGAGAAAGUGUUUAUAGCCUUUGGCCUCUGCAAUCGGAGAGACUGAGGUCUGCAGCGUAGACUCUUCGGGGUUAGAUACAUUCGUGCUAAGUUAUAGCUUUUUAUAGACAACUUGUUGACUAUAAUUAGUCUUGUAGCUUACUCGCUUAUGCUAUUUUACCUACGCUUAGGAUGUUGAAGUCAUCGUAUCGCGCAUGCUCGAUCUAUACAUGAGUCUGUGCAUAUCAAUAAGCGGAGGAAAAGGAAUAUCAUUACGGCGAAAUGAAACUACCUACGCUUAGGAUGUUGACGCAUGAGAUAUACGC